AGCUGUCUUUCGGGGUGGUCAAUUGGUUAUUAUAUCUCCACUAAUAAGCAGAGAGGGGUUAAACCUUUGAAGUAAGUUAUGUGGAUCAAGGUAUAAUGAUUAAUUGGAGUUCUAGUUCAUUUACUUUUGAGAAAAUUAGAGUGUUUAAAGCAGCCUCUUGGGGCACUGAAUACAUUAGCAUGGGAUAAUAAAAUAGGAUCUUCACAAUAUAUUUUAUUGGUUUAAAUUGGAUAUGAAGAUAAUGAUUAAUAGGGACAGUUGGGGGUAUUCAUAUUGGGUGGUUAGCGGUGAAAUGCUCGGAUCCAUUCAAGAUGAACUAAAGCGAAAGCAUUUACCAAGGAUGUUUUCAUUAAUCAAGAACGAAAGUUAAGGGAUCGAAGACGAUAGAUACCGUCGUAGUCUUAACUAUAAACUAUAGCCGGUACUACGUAAUUACGUC
rnacentral:rRNA from 1 species